GUGGGUUGUGUUUGUCCUUUCCACACCUAGAAAGAAGUUCAAAUAAUAAACUUGAUAAUCAUAAGAAUUGAAUAUUAUGUUGCUAACUUUUCGGUGUACUAUAUCCUUCAAAAAAAAGUGACCUGAGAGAUGGGUUCAGAAGCAAACUUUGCCGCAGCCUCCAUACCAAAGUUUGACGGCGACUAUGAUCAUUGGAGCAUGGUCAUGGAGAAUCUCCUUCGAUCCAAAGAGUAUCGGGUUGCUGUCGAAUCAGGAUACACAGAGCCAACAAGUAGAGAAGGGAUAUCAUAUAUGCAUAUAUCAUAGAAUUUAAUAACAUAAGAAAUCUUAUACAAUGUAUUAAUUAUUUUGAAGAUGUGCGUUUGGUUGCAGAGUUGUGUAUUUCCCAAGGGGUAUAGCAAUAGAUGUAAUUUAAUGCUAUUCAUGGUUUCUAACAAAAAUUUUUGAAUUUCAAAUUGAA